UUUUUCUUCUCGUUGCAGAAUAACAUUCUUGAAAAAGCAGAAGCCAUCAUUGGUCCAUACUUGGAAUGCUGUGAAGUGAGCUGGUCAGUAAUGUAAUGUUCCUGGUAUGCAAGUUUGCUCCACAAAAUAAAGUGGUCCAGGAAAUAUAUGAAAAUGAGGAUGUUCAUGAUUCAAUAUCCUAAACUAAACCCUUCAGGAAGACGCUGCAAACACGUCUGGAGACUUUGAGAAGAUAUCUGGCAAGCCAACCUAUGGCCUGGUUUAAAGGGAG